rnacentral:tRNA from 1 species
CCGCGAGUGGCGAAACUGGUAUACGCGCUGGGUUUAGGUUCCAGUGUCCGAAAGGACGUGGAGGUUCGAGUCCUCUCUCGCGGA